GGCGCUAUAGCCAAGUGGUUACGGCGACAGAUUCGAAUAACCCAUUUAGAACAGUUAACUUAUCUGUUCCUCUUUGAGGGCGCAGGUUCAAAUCCUGCUGGCGUCG